GGCGGCGUGCUUAACACAUGCAAGUCGAGCGGUAAGGCCCUUCGGGGUACACGAGCGGCGAACGGGUGAGUAACACGUGGGCAACCUGCCCUGCACUCUGGGAUAAGCCUGGGAAACUGGGUCUAAUACCGGAUAUGACCACCUUGGGCAUGGGGUGUGGUGGAAAGUUCCGGCGGUGCAGGAUGGGCCCGCGGCCUAUCAGCUUGUUGGUGGGGUAAUGGCCUACCAAGGCGACGACGGGUAGCCGGCCUGAGAGGGCGACCGGCCACACUGGGACUGAGACACGGCCCAGACUCCUACGGGAGGCAGCAGUGGGGAAUAUUGCGCAAUGGGCGAAAGCCUGACGCAGCGACGCCGCGUGAGGGAUGACGGCCUUCGGGUUGUAAACCUCUUUCAGCAGGGACGAAGCGCAAAGUGACGGUAGGUGCAGAAGAAGCACCGGCUAACUACGUGCCAGCAGCCGCGGUAAUACGUAGGGUGCGAGCGUUGUCCGGAAUUAUUGGGCGUAAAGAGCUCGUAGGCGGUUUGUUGCGUCGGCUGUGAAAACUUGGGGCUUAACUCUGAGCUUGCAGUCGAUACGGGCAGACUUGAGUUCGGCAGGGGAGACUGGAAUUCCUGGUGUAGCGGUGAAAUGCGCAGAUAUCAGGAGGAACACCGGUGGCGAAGGCGGGUCUCUGGGCCGAUACUGACGCUGAGGAGCGAAAGCGUGGGGAGCGAACAGGAUUAGAUACCCUGGUAGUCCACGCCGUAAACGUUGGGCGCUAGGUGUGGGGUCCUUCCACGUCCUCCGUGCCGUAGCUAACGCAUUAAGCGCCCCGCCUGGGGAGUACGGCCGC
rnacentral:rRNA from 1 species